UUACCAAACUGUUGCCUCGGCGGGGUCACGCCCCGGGUGCGUCGCAGCCCCGGAACCAGGCGCCCGCCGGAGGAACCAACCAAACUCUUUCUGUAGUCCCCUCGCGGACGUAUUUCUUACAGCUCUGAGCAAAAAUUCAAAAUGAAUCAAAACUUUCAACAACGGAUCUCUUGGUUCUGGCAUCGAUGAAGAACGCAGCGAAAUGCGAUAAGUAAUGUGAAUUGCAGAAUUCAGUGAAUCAUCGAAUCUUUGAACGCACAUUGCGCCCGCCAGUAUUCUGGCGGGCAUGCCUGUCCGAGCGUCAUUUCAACCCUCGAACCCCUCCGGGGGAUCGGCGUUGGGGAUCGGGACCCCUCACACGGGUGCCGGCCCCUAAAUACAGUGGCGGUCUCGCCGCAGCCUCUCCUGCGCAGUAGUUUGCACAACUCGCACCGGGAGCGCGGCGCGUCCACGUCCGUAAAACACCCAACUUUCUGAAAUGUUGACCUCGGAUCAGGUAGGAAUACCCGCUGAACUUAAGCAUAUCAAUAAGCCCGGAGAGAA
rnacentral:rRNA from 1 species